UUACUGUUUAAUUUUCUAUUUUAUUUUUAUUUUUAUUGCAUUUUUUCUAAUAUCUUGAUAUAUAGACUCACCUUAUUUUUAUUCUUUCAGAAAUAACCAUAGUGCUUUAAGUCUAGUAAUUAGUCUCUGAAUAUGUUUGAAAGUGUCCCAUAAAUGUAACAUAUUACAUUCUUAUUUUAUGACUAAGUGGUCGAUUUUAUUUCCUUUUUAUGCAAUUUUUGAAAGGCUAGGAUGUAUUUAGUUUUAUUCCAAGACAUUAGUUUUAGGCUAGUUUUAGUUUCUAGCUUUAAAUCACUGUGGUCAGAGAAUUUUGCCUUUAAUAUAUACCUACUUUUUGUGACAUAAUAAAUGAUAAAAUUUUGUAUAGUUCCAUGAUGUGUUAAAAGAAGGCAUAUUUUCUUUUUGUGAAGAGAAAAAGACUGAGCAGUUGUGGCCGCAAUACCCACCUAGAGCAGCAGUCGGGUUCUCCACCUAGAACCCAGGAGUAUGAGACUCAGAAUAAGAUCUCUUCUCCCUCCCCAUUCCUAUGAGAUUUUUUUGGAUCUUCAGCUACAUUUUCGGCUUUCUGAGAAACCCUAUCAUCAAACACAAUGGCCAGCAACGUUACCAACAAGACAGAUCCUCGUUCCAUGAACACCCGUGUAUUCACUGGGAAUCUCAACACUCUUGUGGUCAAGAAAUCUGAUGUGGAGGCAAUCUUUCCGAAGUAUGGCAAAAUUGUGGGCUGCUCUGUUCAUAAGGGCUUUGCUUCAUUCAAUAUGUUAAUGAGAGAAAUGCCCAGGCUGCUGUAGCAGGAGAGGAUGGCAGAAUAAUUGCUGGUCAGGUUUUAGGUAUUAACCUGACUGCAGCACCAAAACUGAACGGAGGAAAAGCAGGCGUGAAACCAUCUGCAGCGAUGUACCGCUCUUCUUUUGACCUGGACUAUGAUUUUCAGCGGGAUUAUUGUAAUAGGAGGUACAGUUACCCAGCACGUGUACCUCCUCCUCCCCCUAUUGCUGGAGGUGUAGUGCCCUUGAAACAUUCGUGUGUAUCAGGAAACACCUCAAGAAGGGAAAAAAGUAGCUUCAAUUUUAAGAGUGGACAGCGGGUAUCUUCCAAGUCUGGAAAGUUGAAAGGAGAUGACCUUCAGGCGGUUAAGAAGGAAUUGACCCAGAUAAAACAAAAAAUGGAUUAUCUCCUGGAAAACCUGGAAAAAAUUGAAAGGGAACAGAGCAAACAAGCAGUAGAGAUGAAAAAUAAGUCAGAAGAGGAGCAGAGCAGCAGCUCCUUGAAGAAAGAUGAGACUAAUUUGAAGUUGGAGUCUGAGGGGGGUGCAAAUAACCCUGCUGAGGAGGGGGACCUACUGGAUGAUGAUGAUAAUGAAGACUGGGGGGAUGACCAGCUGGAGUUGAUCAAGGAUGAAGAAAAAGAGGCCGAGGAAGGAGAGGAUGACGGAGACAGCGCCAAUGGUGAGGAUGACUCUGAAGCACAUAGUGAGGUUUAGAAAUUUUAUUACAUUAUUUCUUUACCUAGGCGCUUGUCUGAGAUCAAAUUUUUCACCAGAUCCUCUUGAGAGCUGAAAGAGUGCUGGCAGCCCUCGCUCGCUCUUGGUGCCUCCUCCGCCUUGGCGUCCCCUCUGGCCUCGCUUGAGGAGCCUUCAGCCCGCUGCUGCACUGUGGGAGCCCCUGUCUGGGCUGCCCGAGGCAGAGCCGGCUGCCUCUGCUUGCUGGGAGGUGUGGAGGCAGAGGCGUGGGUGGGAACUGGGGCUGCCGUCUGCACUAGCUGG